UCGCUCCCGGCCGCGGCCAGGUACGAGCGCGUCCGCGCUCCCGCGGGCGGGCGGGGGAGGGGCGGGAGUGCUGCGGAAGCUGGACCGCUGCCCCGCCCGGCAUGACGGCCUGUGGGCUCCAGGCCGUGCGGGGCCAAGAUCCCGGACCCUCGGAGACGUCGGGCAUGGGAAAACCGAGGUCCAAAGAAGGAAGGGUCCGGCCGGGGCACCGCAGCGGGUCACGGCAGGCACCAUCUGAAGCCAGGCUGGUCACCGGCCCGCCACAGAGGCUCUCCAGCUGCUGCCACUCCUCUUCAUCCUGCUGCAAGCUCCAAGCAUCAGGCCCCAUCACCUGGUACCCAGACCAAGGUCGUACAUAAUUGGCCUCCCUUCUCUGACCUCCACGCCUGGACCAUCCCACACAUGGACAUAAUUAGGUCACACACAAACACCCCGACCCUGCAAAGCCCUCUGUGUCUCCACAUCACCCAGAUUAAAGUUCACAAGAGGCC